GGAAGCGGCGCGGGCUGCGGGCGCUGCACGCCGCGCGGUUGUUGUGAUACAGCCUCCGCCACGUGACUGCGCGGGGCCCGCCUUCCCUGCGCGCGGUGCCUCCUCACGGUGACUCAGCACUUUGUGCGGGCUCGGAGCCGAAGGUCUAUCCCGGGGAGGCUGAUUUGGGGCAAAGUCUUGGUGGUUAUUCCUGCCCCCGGGCUGCAGAAGCCUCAAUCGCUGUGGUUACACUUCAGCUACGCCAGGCCUCCAGGCAAGGAGGCUCUGUAGUCCCAUCGUUACCCAUUUCCCACUCAUCUCGGUUUCUCAGAGAUCAAAUAAGAAAAGCAUAGGGAUAGUGCCCAGGGGUCUCUGAGGAGGGUAUUCCUGGAUUAAGUCACUUGAGGCCACCUACCCCUGCCUUACUGCACUCUUUGGCCUGAGUGUACCUUGUCCCUGAAGUUUUCUCAGGUCUCAACAAAUUACUGUGCACAGCACACCAGCUUCAUGCUGGACUUUUGGAAUCCAAAGAGCAGUGCUGGCUGUCCUGGAUUGCUGCGUUUUCUGGAUGAGGCGACUGAGAUACUAAUAAUACUAAGCACAGGUAUUUGGUCACAUCAGCAGAAGACUGACCACCAAACUCCUGAAAAUGGAGACUGUAGACAUUCCUUAGCCACUUGUCUUUUAUUCCAAAUUAUCUAGCUAUUCUAAAUUAUGGGACUUUGAAUAGACAAAUAAAACCCAAAAACCCAUGCUUGUCACAUGUAAUAAAACUGUUUCACAAUGAUUGGCAUGGACAAUUAUUAUUGUUAAAGUAGGUCAAGUGUUCAAAGGUAAAGUCAUUAAGAUAUGUAUUUACCCUUUUAAGGAUUCCUAAUCUAGUUCCACACUUUUGCCUUUAUUUUACUUACCUAAAUUCAUAUAAUAUAUGUAAACUUCAUUCUAGAUAAUACCAAAUAAUUGACAAUUGGCCUGGUCUCAUGCAGCAAUAUUCUGAGGUACAUAGAUUAUCUAUCUGUGCAUAGAUAAUAAGAUGUUUAAAAAAUGUUUUAAUGUAAACAUAAUUGCAUCUGUGUAGAAAGGUAGUUGUACUUCAUAUUGGGCAAUUUUACUCAGGUAAGACCAGUUCCUGAAAGAAAACAAAAGAAUGAUAACAUAAUUGUACUUCUAUAAGUUACUUUCCACACUUUACUCUCUUCCACUUAUUUUAGCACUUGGGUUUAAAUGUAGUAGGUACCUUAGGAAAAGAAAUUUGACUUACCUAAAAAAAAAUUUUCCUACAAUGCACAGAACAGCCCCACAACAAUGAAUAUCCUGCUCGCAAUGUCAAUACUAUGAAGUAUGAAAUUGAGAAUCUAGGUCUGUUGUAUCAGGAUAUAGUAAGUGUUCCAUGGGUGCUAUUCCUUAAAUAUUUGCAAAUAUUUCUAAGGUCAUCAAAAUGGUUAGUUGAAAAGAACUGAACAUACACAAUGAUUAGCAUCAUUUUGUUUACCUCUCUCUCUCUCUCUCUCUCUCUCUCUCUCUCACACACACACACACACACACACACACACACACACAUACACACUCACACUCACUCCACCCUUCAGAGGAGUAUUCAGCAAAGGGGAUGGGUACCAGGUAAGCUUGUUGCUCUAUUUGUCUCUGAUCUGGACAUGGAGGGAGAAUUAAGAAAUUACUCAAAAUUUGUUAUGAUCAGAUUUAUAUUUAUUCUUCCCUACAAACCAAAAAAGGCAGAAUAGCUUCCCAGUAUGCCCUAGGACAGUUUUGUGCCCUGACUAGUUACAGGAUGCCAAAAUGCUGUUUCCUCUUCACUUUUGUGAUGGCAAAGCAAAAGUUAAUUUGAGUGGUCUGGGCUCCUUGUUCACAGCUUACUAUGGAAAGCAACAUCCUUUGCAGUAAAAAAUAUUCUUAUUUUUAAGGUGUACAAUAUUAUGAAAAAGGUUAGAAAAGGCUAUUAUGAAGUAUCAGCACAAUUUACUGAGGAGGAAAACAAAACCACAGAUCAGGAAAUACAAUAAUAGAGCAAGUUUGUAAACAGAACCAGGUUUGAUUCAGAUCUGUUUGACUUCAAAGUCUUAAGUUCAUUUCCACUUUCCUCACAUCUCUAAAAUCAAAACUGAAAUUAGAAUAGGCCUGUCUUACAGAGAGUGCUUUGACAGAAAAGGAGGAAAUUAAAAGUGAGGGAAUAAACAUGUCUUAUAUCUACAAUAUCCCUGGUGCUUUACAUUAAGAAUAUUAUUCAGUUUUCUUAAUAGCUUUAACUUACACAUAAACUAAUAGUGGACAGCCUUGGGGUUUUUUAUGAAUUUAAUUUGCUCUUUUAUAAUGUUCUCGGUAUGCCUCAUUAAUUCUAAGAACUGACUUAGUUCUUAGAAAACAGAGGAUUCAGUUCUCAAGAGAAAUGUUGAUGAUAGAAAUUGCACUUAAUCCCAAGCCUUUAGACUGUGUGAUGGUAUAAUUCAUUCAGUAUAUGACUGUACAAAAGAAAAUUAUUAAAUUUGAUAUUUUUAUUUUUUAUGUUUCACUUUUUCUAUGUACCUUUUGGAUUCUUUGUACACAAUUCUAGGAUUUGAGAACAAUAUCUACAUCAUGUGCUGAUUAGAGAAGAUAUAGGAAAGACCAAAUGGCAUAUCAGACGUUGAAUCACUACUUUUGAGAGAUGAAAGUAACAUGGGAGCUAGUAUAUCUCAGAGACCCACACUCCAGAGGAUCUGCUGCCAGUGCUUCUCCAACAUAGUGGAACAAUGGCACUGAGCUCAGGACUCCACUGCAAAGUCAGCUGUUUAUCUCUGAGUUCAUUGGACCAGUGACCCCUGCCUACCCCAAGCAUGCAGUCCUGUCAACUUCACCGGUGUGAUAGAGAAAAUCAGAGAGGUUGAAGAUCACUUGCCAAGAGUACAGAAUUGGAAAACUGUACACAGGAUUGGAGCCCAGGACUACGUCUCUCCAAAGCCAUCUAUGCCACGUUCUCUAAAAGGACUCAUGAGUUUCUUCUGUCCUUAUGGCUGUUUUUGCCUCUCAUGGAACCUGUUAGCUGAGGUAAGUAGGCUAAGAAGGGGGUGAGGAAGUGCACAUCAAUUUAGAGUGAGGUGGGUUGAGACCAGCCUGAACAAUAUAGAAAGACCCUUCCACAUUUCUGCUGUUUGUUGCAGCAGUAUGGU